rnacentral:rRNA from 1 species
UGGAGAGUUUGAUCCUGGCUCAGAUUGAACGCUGGCGGCAGGCCUAACACAUGCAAGUCGAGCGGUAACAGGGGUAGCUUGCUACCCGCUGACGAGCGGCGGACGGGUGAGUAAUGCAUAGGAAUCUGCCCGAUAGUGGGGGAUAACCUGGGGAAACCCAGGCUAAUACCGCAUACGUCCUACGGGAGAAAGGGGGCUYCGGCUCCCGCUAUUGGAUGAGCCUAUGUCGGAUUAGCUAGUUGGUGAGGUAAAGGCUCACCAAGGCGACGAUCCGUAGCUGGUCUGAGAGGAUGAUCAGCCACAUCGGGACUGAGACACGGCCCGAACUCCUACGGGAGGCAGCAGUGGGGAAUAUUGGACAAUGGGCGAAAGCCUGAUCCAGCCAUGCCGCGUGUGUGAAGAAGGCCCUCGGGUUGUAAAGCACUUUCAGCGAGGAAGAACGCCUAGUGGUUAAUACCCAUUAGGAAAGACAUCACUCGCAGAAGAAGCACCGGCUAACUCCGUGCCAGCAGCCGCGGUAAU